UCAAACUUGGUCAUUUAGAGGAAGUAAAAGUCGUAACAAGGUUUCCGUAGGUGAACCUGCGGAAGGAUCAUUAAAGGGUUUUUUUAAAAAAAAAAAAUUUCUUUUUUCACCUUGUGUGCAACUAUUGAAAAAAAGGUAGCCUUUGGGAGAGUAGGGGUUUCAGAUUUCACGGGAUCUCAUCUCCCAGAGGCAUAUUCAAUUUUACAAAUUUUUUUUUUUUUAUGACUAAAAUUUUUUUAAAUACAUAAAAAAAAAAAUUAAUAAAACAACUUUCAACAAUGGAUCUCUUGGCUCUCGCAUCGAUGAAGAACGCAGC
rnacentral:misc_RNA from 1 species